ACUAGCACCGUACAAACUCCAGGAGACACACGGGCAUCGAGAGCUGCUGCCACAAACCAAGUUAAACUCCGCUUUCCUUGACUAGGAAGGCUGUUGGUGAGCUGAGUCCUGGGUCUGCUGGUCCAGUGGCCUUAACAACUCAUUUUCAACCGGUCAUUUCUCCACCUGCUCACCGAGGCCCAAGCAGCUGAAGCGAGCACGUCUCUGACACCGACUGAAUACCAAUGAAGCUAAGGUCACCUAAGCAUCAAACGAGUGGGAGAACAGCACCCAGCAAAAGAUGUCAGCCUGUUGGACCGGGCAGCAAUCACUGGGAGACAGGAACCAAAAAGUGCUUGCUACAGUUCGAUAAUGGAGGGAGGAAACAGCUGGUCUGCACAUUUGUGAGUGAGCAGCUUUUAAUAAGGUAAUAUGUUCAUUUUCUAGGUGUCAAGAAUUACAAAUUUAUACCAGGUCAAAUUAAUGCACAUGUUUUCACACAGCACAGUUAAGAGCUCCAUAAAAGAGCACUGUUGUAUUUAGAGUGCUUGUGGAACAUCUCUGCCUGCAGGAAUGAGAGGAGAGCCUCUGUUACAGAGGUGCAGCCUUUUAGAACAGAAGUGACAGGUCACAUCUAACCCACACCUCAGUAUUUCCCCCCAAAAAUCAAACCCAGCAUAAAGCUGCUGUCCAUAAAAAAAAUGUGGCUAUAUCUGGUGCACGAGCUCCGGGCUCGCAUCCUUCUCCUAUUACAAAGUGCCCUGUAGUGUUUCAGUGAUAUGAAUAAAAAACAUUUUUCCUUCGUUUGCCAAGGCAGCAGUAUGGUAUUAUGUUUGUAGUGUAGAUAAAAAACAGAUAUCAAAUUCUAUUAAACUUUGGGCUAGACUUUUUUCUUCUUCCCAAAACCAAAUAGUAAAUAUUGACUGAAGCUGGUUUAUCAAUAUUUAUCUUGAGGGGAAAAUAAAUCUUCCUGUUUGCAAAACUAUAAAGCCAAUUUUAUUAGGGAGAGAGAUUACUGAAAUGGUAAGUUUCCAAUAAUAAUUUCAGUGCCUUUCAGCAAACAGAGGACAUUAAAAAGGAAUGAUCAGCUGGGGAAUAUCCACAACUGACUCCCAGAGGCAGCCGGGUACUAAGACCAGGCCCAGACUAAGCCCAACAAAUAGAUCCUUCUGCUUUUAGACACAGUGAUGUUUUCAAAGGUGUCCCCUGAACUUCCCAUUUAGAGGGGAAGUUGGAAAAUCAGGGGAGGAUUGGUGCCAGCCAACUUGGCUUCACUAAGGGCUAAUCAUGCCUGACAAAUUGGAUGGCCUUCUACAACAGGGUUACAGCAUUGGUGCAUAAGGGAAGAGCAACUGACGUCAUCGACCUGGACUCGUGCAAAGCAUUUGACACCAUCCUGCACGACAUCCUUGUCUCUAAAUUGGAGGGAUGGAUUUGACCGAUGGACCGCUCAGUGCAUAAGGAACUGUCUGGA